rnacentral:snRNA from 1 species
UCACUUUGGCAGCACACAUCCUAAAACUGAAACUAUACAGAGAACAUUACCAAGGCCCCUGAACAAGGAUGACGAACAAAUCUGUGAAGUGCUCCAUAUUUUU